GGCAGGCGUGGUGGCGCACUCCUGUAAUCCCAGCAACUCAGGAGGCUGAGACAGGAGGAUCACAAAUAGAAAGGAAACCUCAGUAAAAGCGAGGCACUGAGCAACUCAGUGAGAUCCUAUCUCUA
rnacentral:sRNA from 1 species